rnacentral:lncRNA from 1 species
GGUUCUUGGACCUGGCUUAAGAAAGAAUUCAGGAAGAAUGUGCCCUCUGAGCAGACAAAACACAAGAGCUACCCCUUCUUCGGAGCCGAUGCUGCUUCUCUUAGGGUGAGUAACUUGCCUAGAGAGCAUUAUCUGGAUGCCUGUCCCAACUCCACCCCUGGCUAGAUAGCAGCCUGCACAUUCUCAUGCUUUCUAUAGUUUCUAUUUUUUCAGAGAGUUGAUCUUCUUAUGGGC